rnacentral:rRNA from 1 species
CCUACGGGCGGCAGCAGUGAGGAAUAUUGGUCAAUGGGCGCGAGCCUGAACCAGCCAAGUAGCGUGAAGGAUGACUGCCCUACGGGUUGUAAACUUCUUUUGUAAGGGAAUAAAGUGAGGCACGUGUGCCUGUUUGUAUGUACCUUAUGAAUAAGGAUCGGCUAACUCCGUGCCAGCAGCCGCGGUAAUACGGAGGAUCCGAGCGUUAUCCGGAUUUAUUGGGUUUAAAGGGUGCGUAGGUGGGUUGUUAAGUCAGUGGGGAAAGUUUGCGGCUCAACCGUAGAAUUGCAAUUGAUACUGGCCGUCUUGAGUACAGUUGAGGUAGGCGGAAUUCGUGGUGUAGCGGUGAAAUGCUUAGAUAUCACGCAGAACUCCGAUUGCGAAGGCAGCUUACUAAACUGCCACUGACAUUGAUGCUCGAAAGUGUGGGUAUCAAACAGGAUUAGAUACCCCAGUAGUC